rnacentral:lncRNA from 1 species
AGGAUUUUUCAAACUUCACUAUUUAUCCGCCUCGGUAGCUCAGUUGGUCAAACGCUCGCCUGGUAAACAGGAGGGCGCGGGUUCAAACCCCAGCUGAGGCGGAAUUUAUUUCCUCAUUCAUUUGAGAUUUGACCACAGUAAUAAUGCUCUUAGGGUUGGGUGGUAGAUAAUUCCAGAGGAAUUAACCCCGCCUAGUGGUGAACUUCCACUAAAGAGUAUUAUUAUUAUUAUUAUUAUUAUUAUUAU